UACGUAGGGUGCAAGCGUUGUCCGGAAUUAUUGGGCGUAAAGAGCUCGUAGGCGGUCUGUCGCGUCGGCUGUGAAAACUCGGGGCUCAACUCCGAGCUUGCAGUCGAUACGGGCAGGCUAGAGUUCGGCAGGGGAGACUGGAAUUCCUGGUGUAGCGGUGAAAUGCGCAGAUAUCAGGAGGAACACCAAUGGCGAAGGCAGAUCUCUGGGCCGUAACUGACGCUGAGGAGCGAAAGCAUGGGGAGCGAACAGG
rnacentral:rRNA from 1 species